rnacentral:hammerhead_ribozyme from 1 species
GUCCGAUUGACGAGUUCUAAAUAGGACGGAACGCGCGUCCUGGAU